AAGGCCUUAGCUUAAUUAAAGUGUCUGAGUUGCAAUCAGAAGAUGUAAGUUAGUGUUUUACAUGCCUUG
rnacentral:tRNA from 1 species